rnacentral:lncRNA from 1 species
AGGAAGUUUCCGCGCCACGGAAGUGGAAGUCACAGGCAAAUCGAGCUGUGCGCGGCGGCCUGCCUUGAAGCUGGAGAGUAUUUUAAACACUACGGAGCGUUUUCCCUAACGUAAGAAAUACGCUGCAAAAUAUCGAGUAAUAAAGAGGCCACCAUAUUUUAACACCCCUACCCCCCCCCCCAUUUCAUAUCACUUUUCUGUGUGCGUCGCUCUGAACUUUUCUCUCUAAAGACUAAAAAAAUACCUCUUAACGUGAACGCUUCUCCAAAGAAGAUACCAAGUCCAUAUGUAUCACGUAAUUAUUUUCCUUUUAUGUCUGGUUCUCUACAUUUUUCUAAAGGUAGAUAUUACUAGUAUUUUCAUCUUAAUUUUAGGCUGAAGAUGAACCCGAGCCUGAGCCCCAUCCUGAAAAUGUUAGCUGUUGCAGGUGGAGCGUCUUUCAUAUGUCCCUGGGCUGCAGCAUUUUGUUCUACUAAAGUUUUUUUGUUUUUUUGUUUUUCCUAUUGAUUAUGAGGAUGGGGAAGAACUGACUGCAGGUAGAUUAACAUCAUUUACAAAAGGAUAUAGAGUUUUUCAAUUUCUCAUGUUUUUUUCUUUUGGUUUUGGUGGUAGGUAAAAUAUAUUUGAUAAUGAAAGUGUAAUACUUUAAUGUGAAACUUGAUAGUUUCCAUUUGGAAUGCCUCUUCUAACUGUAUAGAAGUUGGUUGAGUUGUGAAGAAAGCUUUUGGUGUGUGAUGUUUUAUUUAUGUGUGUAAGGGUUUUUUGUUUGUUUGCUUUUCACUAAUAAGGUAUAUACAAUUUCAGAAAGUUAAAAGGACCGUUUUAGCUGGUGAGAGUGAUUAGUGAUUAUAAUUCCAGCACAUGGGAAGGCUGAGGUCGGAGGGCCUAGAUUUAAACUCACCUUGGACUAUCUACCAAGACUGACCAAAGGGGAAAAAGUUUACAUAGGAGCAUAUUAAUUCCAUUUCAUGUUCAUUUAUUCUUUCCUUAUUCACUGCAUUUCCCUUUAGUUUGUCUUGUUUGAUUUUUCUUUUCCUGGCUUGGGGAUUUAGCCAGAAAACUGUAUAACUUAUUGAGCUAUAGCCUCAGCCUGUUAAGAGUCUCCAUAAUUUUUUGAGGCUUGCAUCAAACUCACUCUGUUAUCCAUGCUGGCCUUGAACUCACAAUUUGAUGCCACAGUCUGGCAUCAAGCUUAACUCUUUAGUUUCAUUUAAUAUCUUGGUUUGUAGGAUUUCUCAGCUUUUUUUUUCUUUUAUUCUUUUCACCAUAUAUCUAGGUAUGCUGAGACACAAAUGUAUUAAUCACUCUCACAGUAUUGAAGAUUCAUUGAUUCCAUCAGGUCUAGAAUACUCUCGACCACUCUGAUGGCAAGUGUUCGGUUUCCCUACACUGUUCACUGCCCGGCGUGUGGAUUUUACAGAACUUUAGAUCUAUUCAGUUGUUUUGUUUUGUUUUGUUUUGUUUGAGAUAAGGGUCUCUCAUGUUCCCUGGCUGUACUGGAGUUUGCUUGGUAGACCAGGCUGGCAAAUUUGACUUUUUAAAAUUGGUGUGUAUGCAUCCAGCCCAGCAUUUAUGUCAGCUUAUAAGGUGCAUCAUUAUUUUAUGCAGCACAAACGAGGAAAACUGUCAAACUACCACACAGUGCUAUAUCACAUACAAUUUUGAUACUAUAAUAGUUACAAAUAAAAACAGUUAUGGGCUGGAGACAUGGCUCAGUGGUUAAGAGUACUUGCUGUUCUUCCAAAGGUCCCGAGUUCAAUUCCCAGAACCUGCAUGGCAGCUCACAGCUGUGUGAUGCCAUCCUCUGGUGUACAUGCAGGAAAGGACCUGUAUUUGUAUAAAUGCAUAAAUAAAUAAAUCUUUAAAAUAUUGAAUACAAUUUUUUUAAAAUUAAAAACAAAACCCAGAAAACCCCACUACUAUACUUUCAGCCCCCACCCCUUAAUCAUAUAUUACCCUUGUGGGUAUCUUUUAAGAAAAACAUGGGAGCCGGGCGUGGUGGCUCACGCCUUUAAUCCCAGCACUUGGGAGGCAGAGGCAGGUGAAUUUCUGAGUUCGAGGCCAGCCUGGUCUACAGAGUGAGUUCCAGGACAGCCAAGACUACACAGAGAAACUCUGAAACAAAAAACCAAAAAAAAAAAAAAAAAAAAAACCAAAAAAAAAAAAAGAAAGAAAAACAUGGGAGCUAGGGUUACAUAGUGAUAGAGUGCUUGCCUGACCUGUACAACACAUGAUCUCCAUCCUCACAGAAGACACGACAGAGAGGUGUUCACACUGUCUGUUUAUAGUAGUGCUAUCAGUUUCCCACUGAGCUGCUGCUGCUGCUGUUUUUAAUGUAUUACACUCUGCUUUGUUAAGGAUGUCAAUGCUCAAGAGUGCAAGUCUAGGGAUAAAAGUCUAAAAAUAUUUUUUAAAAAGAGUACUAUUCUGUUGCAUCUGGAGUUUCAUCCACUUGUGAAUUUUAAUGCUGGCAUUUCUUGUUUUACAUGUAAUAAAUUAUUGUUUUAUUAACAUUUAUUUAUAUGUGGUGCAUGCAUGCCUUAGCGCAUGUGUGGAGGUCAGAGGAAAACACGUAAGAGUCAGCUCCGUUCUUUCACCCUGGAUCCCAGGAUAGAACUCAGGUUGCCAGGCUUAGUGGUAAGUUAAGUCCCUUUACCUGCUAAGCUGUCUUGACAGCCUGAAUUAUUCCUUCACACAGCAAGAGAUAAUGUAGGACUGGUCUUGCAGCUUAGUGUUACUGUGUGUCCAACAACACAGCACAAACAAAAAUAAAAACCCAUCAUACAGCU